GAUGAAGAACGCAGCGAAAUGCGAUAAGUAGUGUGAAUUGCAGAAUUCAGUGAAUCAUCGAAUCUUUGAACGCACAUUGCGCCCCUUGGUAUUCCAUGGGGCAUACCUGUUCGAGCGUCAUUUGUACCUUCAAGCUUUGCUUGGUGUUGGGUGUUUGUCCCGAGGGACUCGCCUUAAAGUAAUUGGCAGCCAGUGUUUGGUUUUGAAGCGCAGCACAAGUCGCGAUUCAAGGCUACACGCCCGCUUCCACAAGCCUUUUUUCACUUUUGACCUCGGAUCAGGUAGGGAUACCCGCUGAACUUAAGCAUAUCAAUAAGCGGAGGA
rnacentral:misc_RNA from 1 species